GCUUUGGUGGUGCAACGGUUUAGCAUAUGCUCCUGGAAAGAGUAAGAUAUGAUUUCGAAUCCCGCCUAACGCA